rnacentral:ncRNA from 2 species
CGGCGGGAGUAACUAUGACUCU